UCUUGCACAACAAAAAUCCAACUUCAGAUAAAAAUUCAUUUCUCAACCAAAAUCACCCAAUAACCCAUUUUUGUAAUUCAAUUUCAUCAACUCAAUCUGGGCACAAUUGGAGCACAACCAUGGCUAUAAAUAGCCAUGUUUAUCCCCUCAAACCAUUCACUCAAACCACUUGAGUCUUCGCCGGAAAACACCACCCAAAACACCCCUCAAAUCCCCUGUUUUUUUUUCAAUUCUCUCUCUCCUCUGUUUUCGUGCGACCACCGUAGCACCACCACCCUACGCCGACGACCACCUUGCGCCGACCACCUUGCGCCAACCACCACCGCCGUCGCCUACCCAGGCCGCACUUCUUCGUCGCCCGCAUCCCCUCUCCCUCGUCCUCAUCUCUCUCGCUCAGCUCCUCUCUCCUCUCGCCCAAUUCGUUUUCUCUCUACUCUUCCUGGUCUGCUGUUCGCACCGUCCCAACACCACCGGAGCAUCGUCGCGAGCCGCCCACACGCGAUUUUCUGCCUCGUCGCGCCUUCGGUCGCCGGAGCUCGACUCACUUCGUUGCAGCAUCUCUCUGGUUUGAAGCAGUGGUAUGCAUAUGAAGAUGGGAUGACGUAGCUGUGAAGAUUAAAUUACGUUAAUUCAUGCGACUAUGACGGUUAUGAAAUCCAAGUUUAUGAUCACUAGAUUACGUAGCAUCAGCUAUGCUUAAGCUAUCUAUAUAUAUUUCCAGAAUUACUACCACUAUUAAGUUUAGUGAUGUGAAAGAAUGUUG